UUUGAUCGACCCCAACCACAACGGACUCUCCGGGGCACGAUCCUGCCCAUAGGUAGCGAUCAACGCCUGCGCCUC
rfam:Nocardia donostiensis strain X1655 38, whole genome shotgun sequence.